AUGGAGCAACUCCCCCCGUUUGCCAAGCAUCACCGUGGUGAGGUGUCUAGCAAGGAGCCGCUGGUGGUCGACGACGACGUUUCGGUCCCCGGGCAGAAGCAGGACUACACCGUGCCGCUCAUGGUUGAUAUCGACCUGAAGGAGAAGCUGGAUGUCAUAUGCACCAGCAAUCCAGACGAAGCCGACAAGAGGAUCCGCGACAUGAGGAGGAGGCUCGGCAGCAUGGUUUCUCGGUCGAUCGGCGUUGAUGUCGAGUAUACCAGGGAAGACCAACCUCCGCAAAUGCCUGCAGUUCUGCAGUGA
rnacentral:rRNA from 1 species